UUGGAAGUAGAAAUUGAAGGCCGGAAUCGUGAAUUAGAAUCGUACACGCCGCAAUUGACGUGUUUGGAUGGCUUCCGCAUUGACAGCCGGAAAUCUCCCUCCAAUGCCGCGAAAUAUUGGGCCAGUGCGCGGGCGCCCGCCCACAAUUCAGAGACCUCCCGCUCCGCAUUGCUCGGCAUCUUAAUUCCCCCACUCCCCGCGUACCGGUUCGCGACCAAAAAAAAGAAAACGCCGACACCGCCCCAUCCGCAGCUUCCUCUGGAGGGCGUCAACAGGCGGACGGCCACCUCGGGAGGGCGCCACCGCCGCUGCCGUCCCCUCCGCCGCAGGUUAAUUCAGCGUUGGGUUGCUGGUCUAGACGAUUGAAGGCUAACAAGUCAGCAGCUUGCUACAAGAACAAAGUAGUGAAGAAUUGGGAUGCAAUCAGUACCAUUUAUUCAAAAGAUCAUGCCAAUGGUCAAGGUGCUCAGACAGGUGCUGAGAGUGCUCAAGUUCUACCUGAACAAGUUGAUGAUGCAUCACCAGAUUUGCCCCAAAAGAAGCAGCGAACUGGUGAGGCCAUUCUAUCUAUACUAGGAGAUAUGAAGACCUCAUUCAAUGAUUCUUUGAAGUCCACCGAACCACUACCGAUGCCUAGUGUUACUUCUCCUGCUGAGAUCCUUGCAACACUUCAAAUGGUACCUGAUUUGGCUAGAUCUGACAUGCUAAAAUCUUAUGGGAAGUUCAUCCUUAAUGAACGCUUAUUCCAAGCGCUCCUAGAACUCCCCAUGGACAUGAGGAAGGAAUGGCUCUUGUUGUUGAACUAAAAGAAUGGCAAUUGAGGGUGGUACUGUAUGGUAGUUAUUAUUUAGAGCUUAAGAACUUGUUAUCCUAAGUAGGUGUUUCAUGUUGUGAUGGAAAAAACUAUCUGUUGUGAUGGACAAAAACUAUCUGUUGUGAUAUGUUAUCUGUACGGUUCUUGUGACAAACUUGGAUUAUUAUUGUCAUGUUUUUGUCUGUAUAAUGGCUGGUGCUAUA